rnacentral:tRNA from 1 species
GCUUCCUUAGUACAACGGAUAGUGCAAGAGUCUUCUAAACUUUUAAUAGAGGUUCGAUUCCUCUAGGAAGCA